rnacentral:rRNA from 1 species
GACGAACGCUGGCGGCGUGCUUAACACAUGCAAGUCGAACGGAAAGGCCCUGCUUUUGUGGGGUGCUCGAGUGGCGAACGGGUGAGUAACACGUGAGUAACCUGCCCUUGACUUUGGGAUAACUUCAGGAAACUGGGGCUAAUACCGGAUAGGAGCUCCUGCUGCAUGGUGGGGGUUGGAAAGUUUCGGCGGUUGGGGAUGGACUCGCGGCUUAUCGGCUUGUUGGUGGGGUAGUGGCUUACCAAGGCUUUGACGGGUAGCCGGCCUGAGAGGGUGACCGGCCACAUUGGGACGGGGAUACGGCCCAGACUCCUACGGGAGGCAGCAGUGGGGAAUAGUGCACAAUGGGCGGAAGCCUGAUGCAGCAACGCCGCGUGCGGGAUGACGGCCUUCGGGUUGUAAACCGCUGUCGCCUGUGACGAAGCGUGAGUGACGGUAAUGGGUAAAGAAGCACCGGCUAACUACGUG